rnacentral:antisense_RNA from 1 species
GCUAGCGAGCGGCAUGCUUAGUGAAGAAAAGCUUAAAGGCCGUCUUUGCCCAAAACGCUCUCUGUGCGCGCCUGCAUUUCCCCGAGAUUUGCAGAUGGAGUCUCACUCUGUUGCCAGGCUGGAGUGCAGUGGUGCCAUCUCAGCUCACUACAACCUCCACCUCCGGGGUUCAAGCAAUUCUCCUGCCUCAGCCUUCCGAGUAGCUGGGACUACAGGUGCCUGCCACCAUUCCCAGUUAAUUUUUGUAUUUUUAGUAGAGAUGACAUUUCACUAUGUUGGCCAGGCUGGUUUUGAACUCCUGACCUCGUGAUCCACCUGCCUCAGCUUCCCAAAGUGCUGGGAUUACAGGCAUGAGCCACCACGCCUGGCCGAAAUCCUAUUUUUCAAUAUUUAUUUCCUAAUUAUGUCCUACUAGGUUAGGUUUUAUUUUCAUUUGUUACAUAUUUAUUGGGUUAUUUCAUUUAUGCUAGGAACUUUAUUAGUAUAAGGAUACAGAUAAGGUCCAUUCUCUGUUCUCAAGAAUCUGAGUCUACAGGCAGAAGACAAAAUGCAGUACAGAAUUAUGGA